AGAGUUUGAUCAUGGCUCAGAAUCAACGCUGGCGGCGCGCUUAACACAUGCAAGUCGAACGAGAAAGUGGAGCAAUCCAUGAGUACAGUGGCGUACGGGUGAGUAACACGUGGGUAAUCUACCUCUUAGUGAGGAAUAACCCUGGGAAACCGGGGCUAAUACCGCAUAAGCCUGAGAAGGGAAAGCAGCAAUGCGCUGAGAGAGGAGCCCGCGGCCGAUUAGCUAGUUGGUGAGGUAAGAGCCCACCAAGGCAGAGAUCGGUAGCCGGCCUGAGAGGGCACACGGCCACACUGGCACUGAAACACGGGCCAGACUCCUACGGGAGGCAGCAGUGGGGAAUCUUGCACAAUGGGGCAACCCUGAUGCAGCGACGCCGCGUGAGCGAUGAAGCCCUUCGGGGUGUAAAGCUCUUUCGUCAGGGAAGAUAGUGACGGUACCUGGAGAAGCAGCUGCGGCUAACUACGUGCCAGCAGCCGCGGUAAUACGUAGGCAGCGAGCGUUGUUCGGAGUUACUGGGCGUAAAGGGUGUGUAGGCGGUUCUUUAAGUUUGGUGUGAAAUCUCCCGGCUCAACCGGGAGGGUGCGCCGAAUACUGAGGGACUAGAGUGUGGGAGAGGAAAGUGGAAUUCCUGGUGUAGCGGUGAAAUGCGUAGAUAUCAGGAGGAACACCGGUGGUGUAGACGGCUUUUCUGGACCAUAACUGACGCUGAGACACGAAAGCGUGGGUAGCAAACAGGAUUAGAUACCCUAGUAGUCC
rnacentral:rRNA from 1 species